rnacentral:misc_RNA from 1 species
CGGGGAAAGAGCUGCAAAGUUUCUGAAGAAACUGGUUGUUGCUGCAGAUUCUCAAAGACAGGUCCAAUGAAUGAAUAUUAGAAAUGUGACCUUUGUUUCUUAGAAGAGGAGCAGCCGACUUCAUCAUGGUGUUCACUAUCGUCAGAUCUGUUCCUCUUUGUCCCAAUGCAAUGUUCUGUUGGUUCAUCUUUAUACAACAUACGAAAUCCAAACUCCUUCAUUUCUCCGGAGAACAAUAACUUAAUAAGCCCAUAGUCAUUUGGUGUUUUCCCAUUUGCCUUAGAUGUUUCCCAUAAGCCAGCAAGAGGUACCAAGAAAAAAUGAAUAGUAGAUUCAGAAUCAUCCAGCGGUUUAGAAUGUGAUACUGAACCUACUAUUCAUUUUUU